UUUCCGUAGGUGAACCUGCGGAAGGAUCAUUACUGAGUGAGGGCCCUCUGGGUCCCACCUCCCACCCGUGUUUAUUAUACCUUGUUGCUUCGGUGAGCCCGCCUCACGGCCGCCGGGGGGCAUCUGCCCCCGGGCCCGCGCCCACCGAAGACACCUAGAACUCUGUAUGAAGAUUGCAGUCUGAGCAAAAACUAAAUAAGUUAAAACUUUCAACAACGGAUCUCUUGGUUCCG
rnacentral:misc_RNA from 1 species